CGGACGGGUGAGUAAUGUCUGGGAGACUGCCUGAUGGAGGGGGAUAACUACUGGAAACGGUAGCUAAUACCGCAUAACGUCGCAAGACCAAAGAGGGGGACCUUAGGGCCUCUUGCCAUCGGAUGUGCCCAGAUGGGAUUAGCUUGUUGGUGGGGUAACGGCUCACCAAGGCGACGAUCCCUAGCUGGUCUGAGAGGAUGACCAGCCACACUGGAACUGAGACACGGUCCAG
rnacentral:rRNA from 1 species